GUGGGGAAUAUUGCGCAAUGGGGGAAACCCUGACGCAGCGACGCCGCGUGAGCGAAGAAGGCCUUAGGGUUGUAAAGCUCUGUUUUAAGGGACGAAUGUCGUGGGGAGUAAUAUGCUCUGCGAAUGACGGUACCUUAAGAGGAAGCCCCGGCUAACUACGUGCCAGCAGCCGCGGUAAGACGUAGGGGGCGAGCGUUGUCCGGAAUUACUGGGCGUAAAGAGCACGUAGGCGGGAACUUAAGUCAGGUGUGAAAGACCGGGGCUCAACUCCGGGGUUGCACUUGAAAGUGGGUUUCUUGAGGGCAGGAGAGGAAAGCAGAAUUCCUGGUGUAGCGGUGAAAUGCGUAGAAAUCAGGAGGAAUACCAGUGGCGAAGGCGGCUUUCUGGACUGACCCUGACGCUGAGGUGCGAAAGCGUGGGUAGCAAACAGGAUUAGAUACCCUGGUAGUCC
rnacentral:rRNA from 1 species